AUUGAACGCUAGCGGGAUGCCUUACACAUGCAAGUCGAACGGAGUGGCGAACGGGUGAGUAAUUUAUCGGAACGUGCCCAGUAGCGGGGGAUAACUACGCGCAAGCGUAGCUAGUACCUCAUACUUUCGGACCGGCCUAUAUGGGAUUAACGAGUUGGUGGGGUAACGGCUCACCAAGGCGACGAUCCGUAGCUGGUUUGAGAGGACGACCAGCCACACUGGGACUGAGACACGGCCCAGACUCCUACGGGAGGCAGCAGUGGGGAAUUUUGGACAAUGGGGGAAACCCUGAUCCAGCCAUCCCGCGUGUGGGAUGAAGGCCUUCGGGUUGUAAAGCACUUUUGGCAGGAAAGCGGUACCUGCAGAAUAAGCACCGGCUAACUACGUGCCAGCAGCCGCGGUAAUAC
rnacentral:rRNA from 1 species